UGGGGAAUAUUGGACAAUGGGCGAAAGCCUGAUCCAGCCAUGCCGCGUGUGUGAAGAAGGUCUUCGGAUUGUAAAGCACUUUAAGUUGGGAGGAAGGGCAUUAACCUAAUACGUUAGUGUUUUGACGUUACCGACAGAAUAAGCACCGGCUAACUCUGUGCCAGCAGCCGCGGUAAUACAGAGGGUGCAAGCGUUAAUCGGAAUUACUGGGCGUAAAGCGCGCGUAGGUGGUAUGUUAAGUUGGAUGUGAAAUCCCCGGGCUCAACCUGGGAACUGCAUUCAAAACUGACUGACUAGAGUAUGGGAGAGGGUGGUGGAAUUUCCUGUGUAGCGGUGAAAUGCGUAGAUAUAGGAAGGAACACCAGUGGCGAAGGCGACCACCUGGACUAAUACUGACACUGAGGUGCGAAAGCGUGGGGAGCAAACA
rnacentral:rRNA from 1 species